GACGAACGCUGGCGGCGUGCUUAACACAUGCAAGUCGAACGGAGAGGCCCUGCUUUUGUGGGGUGCUCGAGUGGCGAACGGGUGAGUAACACGUGAGUAACCUGCCCUUGACUUUGGGAUAACUUCAGGAAACUGGUGCUAAUACCGGAUAUGAGCUCCUGCUCCAUGGUGGGGGUUGGAAAGUUUCGGCGGUUGGGGAUGGUCUCGCGGCGUACCAGCUUGUUGGUGGGGUAGUGGCUGACCAAGGCUUCGUCGGGGAGCCGGCCUGAGAGGGUGACCGGCGAGAUUGGGACUGGGAUACGGCCCGGAGUCCUAGGGGAGGCAGCAGUGGGGAAUAUUGAACAAUGGGCGGAAGCCGGAUGGAGCAACGCCGCGUGCGGGAUGACGGCCUUCGGGUUGUAAACCGCUUUCGCCGGUGAAGAAGCGGGAGUGACGGUAAUGGGUAAAGAAGCACCGGCUAACUACGUG
rnacentral:rRNA from 1 species